ensembl:lncRNA
ACCAUAUCUACACAUACACACCCAGAGGUUUCCAGUCAAUAGGAUGAAACCUAAUAUGGAAACCUGAGUGCCUGUUCUCAUGAAGACUGCCAGCCCAGUCGGUUCUCCGAGGACCUGAAAAACCAGACCUCAAAGGAACAUUCUGCUUUGCCAACAUUCCCUGUGUCGCAGUGUUUGCUGACUUCACAAACACAUCUAGAUGAAAAUAUGAAAAGCCCUGUAAAAGGGUAAACGUGUGAAAUAAGGACCCUCUGGGAUCUCAAGGAAUUUACAGAUCCUUGAAUUUUAUCACUGUGCUUAUUUUUUAAUUAAAGACAAUAACUGCUCCUUACAGGUACUUAUUGACAAAUAAAAACGAUGAUGUCA